rnacentral:rRNA from 1 species
AACGAACGCUGGCGGCAGGCUUAACACAUGCAAGUCGAGCGAGACCUUCGGGUCUAGCGGCGGACGGGUGAGUAACGCGUGGGAACGUGCCCUUCUCUACGGAAUAGCCCCGGGAAACUGGGAGUAAUACCGUAUACGCCCCUUGGGGGAAAGAUUUAUCGGAGAAGGAUCGGCCCGCGUUGGAUUAGGUAGUUGGUGGGGUAAUGGCCCACCAAGCCGACGAUCCAUAGCUGGUUUGAGAGGAUGAUCAGCCACACUGGGACUGAGACACGGCCCAGACUCCUACGGGAGGCAGCAGUGGGGAAUCUUAGACAAUGGGGGCAACCCUGAUCUAGCCAUGCCGCGUGAGUGAUGAAGGCCUUAGGGUUGUAAAGCUCUUUCAGCUGGGAAGAUAAUGACGGUACCAGCAGAAGAAGCCCCGGCUAACUCCGUG